UUCCCGUCCAGUGGUUGGGACCUAAGGACCCCACGCUGAGGAAUUCAGCUCAUUACUGGGGCCUGGUGUAAUUACUGCCAGCUAAUGUUCAGCCCGUUAGGCAUUCCUGGCCUCCCUGAUUGCCCCGCUCCUGCCCUUCCAACUGUGGGAGGGCUGUGCGCCUCAGAACACAAGAAUUAACAGUUAGCAUUUCUCCAACUGCGACUUGCCUAGGGGUGCCCCCGCGGGGGGCUCGGCCCCGCCAUGCCUUCUCACCUCAGCCUCUGCUCUCGGAAAUAACCGCACGCACACGCACUGUUAGGGCCUCUACCCACGUGGCACCUGCUUGUCUCCCUGCGAUCCAGGAUGUUCCUAUAACUUCCGUCCUACAGCGUGAAAUCGAGAGCCCCGGGUUCUAGUUCUAACUGUGUUUCAGACUGGCAAUACUCACCCUUGGCCAGAGAGGGCGUCUUUCCGAAGUUGCUGAGAAUAACGGCAUUGAGCGCUCAGCUCUAAAGAGGACAUGUAUAUCAACCCCGGAAAGGCUCAGGGAACAUCGAUCGUAGCAGAAUGGAAGUGUGCCAUGGAAUGCUGUCUUCUAGACAUCGCGUGGCCGAUGCUGUCAUGGACCCACUGCACUAUAGUUACCGGCCCGAGGUCAAGCCAGCGAGAUCAGUGAACAUAUCCCUGUACACAGAACCAACUGGACCCAAGAGAGUUACAACAUGAAAAGGAGGACACCUGAAAUUGGGUUCUCAUUGAGUGUGCUAGGUGCCAAGCUCUGGCUCAGCAGUGAGGGGAACACAGAGGCGACGAUGUCACGUGACAGUUCGUUUGCAACAAGGUCUCGCUCUGAAGUUCAGCCUGGCCUCCAAUACACUGCAUAGCUGAGGUUGGCCUUGAACUCUCUCCACCCUCCUCCUCCCCCCACCUCCCAAAGGCUGCCAUUACAGGUGUGCACAGCAGGACUUAGAUCGCGAAAUAAAUACGGCCCGUUCCAAACGGCCACUUUG